UUAUCUUACUCAAGAGAAAGAAAAUUGUAAUAUUUUUAAUUGCCCUUGUGAUUCUUUUAGCACUGAAAAGUAAACUAAACAAAAGGGGGGACCAGUCUGGUGUCACUGUCAUAAGCAAAGGAUUCUGUAGCAACACAGACGUGAAGCCAGAAGACUUCAAACAAAUGCAGCAGACUACCAUGCAUACUAAGGGACCUCACGCUGACAG
rnacentral:lncRNA from 1 species